rnacentral:rRNA from 1 species
GACGAACGCUGGCGGCGUGCUUAACACAUGCAAGUCGAGCGAUGAAGCUUCUUCGGUAGUGGAUUCGCGGAGGACGGGUGAGUAACACGUGGGUAACCUGCCUUGUAGAGAGGAAUAGACAUUCGAAAGGAUGAUUAAUACCUCAUAAUAUUGUAGCUUCGCAUGGAGCAACAAUUAAAGGAGCAAUCCGCUACACGAUGGACCCGCGGCGCAUUAGCUAGUUGGUGAGGCAACGGCUCACCAAGGCGACGAUGCGUAGCCGAACUGAGAGGGACUUCGGCCACUUGUGCGCUGGGACGCGGCCCAGACGCCUACGGAGGGCAGCAGUGGCGAAUAUUGCACAAUGGGGGAAACCCAUAUGCAGCAACGCCGCGUGAGUGAUGACGGUCUUCGGAUUGUAAAGCUCUGUCUUCAGGGACGAUAAUGACGGUACCUGAGGAGGAAGCCACGGCUAACUACGUGCCAGCCGCCGCAGUAAAAC